rnacentral:rRNA from 1 species
CGGCAGGCUUAACACAUGCAAGUCGAGGGGUAGCAGGAUUUAGUUUACUAGAUUGCUGACGACCGGCGCACGGGUGAGUAACGCGUAUACAAUUUGCCUUUUACUGGAGGAUAGCCAAGAGAAAUUUUGAUUAAUACUCCAUAGUAUUAUUAGAUCACCUGGUUUGAUAAUUAAAGCUCCGGCGGUAAAAGAUGAGUAUGCGUCCUAUUAGCUAGAUGGUGAGGUAACGGCUUACCAUGGCGACGAUAGGUAGGGGUCCUGAGAGGGAGAUCCCCCACACUGGUACUGAGACACGGACCAGACUCCUACGGGAGGCAGCAGUGAGGAAUAUUGGGCAAUGGAGGCAACUCUGACCCAGCCAUGCCGCGUGCAGGAAGACGGCCCUAUGGGUUGUAAACUGCUUUUAUACAGGAAGAAACUUAUCCACGUGUGGAUAACUGACGGUACUGUAAGAAUAAGGACCGGCUAACUCCGUGCCAGCAGCCGCGGUAAUACGGAGGGUCCAAGCGUUAUCCGGAAUCAUUGGGUUUAAAGGGUCCGUAGGCGGGCAAUUAAGUCAGAGGUGAAAUCCCACAGCUCAACUGUGGAACUGCCUUUGAUACUGGUUGUCUUGAGUUAUAGUGAAGUAGAUAGAAUAUGUAGUGUAGCGGUGAAAUGCAUAGAUAUUACAUAGAAUACCGAUUGCGAAGGCAGUCUACUAACUGUAUACUGACGCUAAUGGACGAAAGCGUGGGGAGCGAACAGGAUUAGAUACCCUGGUAGUCCACGCCGUAAACGAUGGUCACUAGUUGUUGGGGUCUUGUACCUCAGUGAUUAAGAGAAAUUGAUAA